CCUACGGGAGGCAGCAGUGAGGAAUAUUGGUCAAUGGGCGGGAGCCUGAACCAGCCAAGUCGCGUGAAGGAAGACGGUACUUAGGAUUGUAAACUUCUUUUGUCGGGGAACAAAGGCGGAGACGCGUCUCCGGAGGAGUGGACCCGAAGAAAAAGCAUCGGCUUACUCCGUGCCAGCAGCCGCGGUAAUACGGAGGAUCCGAGCGUUAUCCGGAUUUCUUGGGUUUAAAGGGAGCGUAGAGGGGUUGUUAAUUAAGUGGGUAAAGUUUGCGGAUUAACCGUAAAAUUGCAAUUGAUACUGGCAGUCUUGAGUACAGUUGAGGUAGGCGGAAUGCGUGGUGUAGCGGUGAAAUGCUUAGAUAUCACGAAGAACCCCGAGUGCGAAGGCAGCUUACUAACCUGUGACUGACAUUGAUGCUCGAAAGUGUGGGUAUCAAACAGGAUUAGAUACCCGGGUAGUC
rnacentral:rRNA from 1 species